GCGGGAUUUGUACAAUGGCAGUACGCUACCUUCCCAAGGUGGAGACGCGAGUUCGAUUCUCGUAUCCCGCU
rnacentral:tRNA from 1 species